UGCUUAGGAACUUUUUAGUGUUUGGCGCGGCGACCAAUAGGAGCGAGGCUGAUUUGCCUAGUAAGCGCCGCCUAUCCUACCUGUUUUGCUUCGGGAUCAAAGACUCUACAGAGGCGGUGACGGAAAGACCCGCCUACCAACAGGUGUACUAUAGAAACGAGUCGUGGAACGCAGGUUUGACAGGAUGAGUAACUCAAGUUUUACCUACGGAGUUGUGCCUAAUCCUGCUCCAAAGUUCUGAUGCCUCCAGCGUACCCGAGGGCUCAACCUAAAAGGGGCUGCAGUUGCUCUCCAUUGAACUACACUUCUGCAGAAGCAACUCUUUCUGGAUUGACAAGCACUACAGCGGGGAACUGAAGCUGCAAUAGCACAAUUCACAACCAGAUUCUGCCUCUUGAAGCAGUGUAGCAGAAGUCAGUUCUCCUCCAGAAUUCUUCACAGAUCGUGAACCCUUCCUGUUGGAACUCCACAUGAUAUGUAUGAGCAAUAGCUGGUCCAACAAGGGCACAGGACAAAAGCCAAAUGCCCACCAAGACAUAUACACAGAAAGGAAGUACUUUAUGAAUCCUAGAACUCAACAGAAACCAUUAAGUGGCCUCAACAGACAGUGUUGUUCUACUACUAUCUAUGGACAGCGCCUUGGGUACAGCAAGCCAAAUGUAUAAAGGCAAAUAUAGAAGCAAUUAAUGUUCUGUUCAUUUAAUAUGUGCCACUGUAAAAGAAAAUAAGUGUUGUCUUUGCUUUAAGUAGAUUGUCCAUUAAAAAUAAUUUU